GAUCUGCGCAGCCAUGGGACCCUUGUCGUCGCAUGCGCCGCGGCCGUAGAUAGUCGAGCCCUCAACGCGCA